GACGAACGCUGGCGGCGUGCCUAACACAUGCAAGUCGAACGGACCGGCCCUGCUUUUGUGGGGUGCUCGAGUGGCGACCGGGUGAGUUACACGUGUGUACCCUGUCCCCGACUUUGGGAUAACUUCAGGACAUUGGGGCUAAUACCGGAUAGGAGCUCUUGCUGCAUGGUGGGGGCUGGAAAGUUUCGGUGGUUGGGGAUGGACUCGCGGCCUAUCAGCUCGAUGGUGGGGUAGUGGCUUACCAAGGCUUUGACGGGUAGCCGGUCUGGGAGGGUGGCCGGCCAAAUUGGGACGGAGAUACGACCCAGACUCCUACGGGAGGCAGCGGAGGAGAAUAGUACACAAGGGGCGGAAGCCUGAUGCAGCAACGCCGCGUGCGGGAUGACGGCCAGCGGGUUGUAAACCACUGUCGCCUGAGACGAGGCGUGAGUGACGGUAAUAGGUGAAGAAGCACCGGCUAACUACGUG
rnacentral:rRNA from 1 species